UACGGGGGGAGCAAGCGUUGUUCGGAUUUACUGGGCGUAAAGGGCGCGUAGGCGGCCUGCUAAGUCGAACGUGAAAUCCCUGGGCUCAACCCAGGAACUGCGUCCGAUACUGGUUGGCUUGAAUCCGGGAGAGGGACGUGGAAUUCCAGGUGUAGCGGUGAAAUGCGUAGAUAUCUGGAGGAACACCGGUGGCGAAGGCGACGUCCUGGACCGGCAUUGACGCUGAGACGCGAAAGCCAGGGGAGCAAACGGG
rnacentral:rRNA from 1 species